rnacentral:rRNA from 1 species
CGAACGGGUGAGUAACACGUGGGUGACCUGCCCUCCACUCUGGGAUAAGCCUUGGAAACGGGGUCUAAUACCGGAUAUGACUACAUGUCGCAUGGUGUGUGGUGGAAAGCGUUUAGUGGUGGGGGAUGGACCCGCGGCCUAUCAGCUUGUUGGUGGGGUAGUGGCCUACCAAGGCGACGACGGGUAGCCGGCCUGAGAGGGCGAUCGGCCACACUGGGACUGAGACACGGCCCAG